UUCGCCGGCGGCAUUGGGGGGAUGAGAAGCCCCGGGUUCGACAGGCAGCGCAGCUGCCUGCACGGCGAAGCCGCCCGCAGGGCGAAGGCACGUAGUGCCGAGUGAAUCCCCCCUCUGUCGCCA
rnacentral:misc_RNA from 1 species